CAUAUGCCAGCCAUAGAGAACUGGAAAGGAAGGUGAAGAAUGAUAGGUAGAAGGGCAUGAACUCCACACUUUUGGUCUUUAUGACUUGCUUCUGCAAUUGAAGGUGCAAAGUAAGAUGAUAAACAAUAUCACACAUGCAUGAAAAGGGAAAGAAGAAGCUACAUUUAAUGUAAAUAUAGCUGGUUCUGAGCAGAUGGUUAGUCAAGAUGAACAUGUGAAUACCUAUUCUAACACUGCAAGAGAAUUUUCUAUUAAGGACACUUCAUUAAAUUCUCUGGUCAUUUCAUUACAGAAGCAAUUUACUCGCAUAGGUAAAAAAUAAUGUGGAAUAUUUCUUAAUUUGUUUUAGAAACAUUUUGUAGAUUGUAGGCCACUUUUAUGAACAUGCAUUGAGAUGUAUAUGCAUAUAUGCUUUUACAUGUACAAAUUGUUUUCAUUAUUCACCAUUAACUAUAGUUUGGUAUGACUA